rnacentral:misc_RNA from 1 species
ACACCUCAACUCUCAUGGCUUGCCAUGAUGAGCUUGGACUUUGGGGGUUUUGUUGGCCUCUGUGGUCAGCUCCUCUUAAAUGAAUCAGCUUGCUAGUGUUUGGCGGCAUUGUGGGUGUGAUAACUAUCUACGCCCAUGGUUGUUUGCCAGGUAACCUUCAGCAGUGGAGGUUCGCUGGGGCUUAUAAAUGUCUCUCCUCAGCAUGAGACAGCAUUUUGAAC